GACAAAUAAGGGACUAUAAUUACCUGUGUUGGCAAAAAAAAUUCCCUGCAUAAUACACAUUUUUGCUGCUCUAGUUGUAGUCUCUGAUUUUGGAUAUUGAGAAUUUUAGUUCAGAGGGAUGUUUAUAUUGCUAAGUGAUAUGUUGUUUUGUGUCAAAUAGCUCAAGAGAGUGUAUUCUAAAAGUUUGAUUGUUGGGCUGCAAUUUAACAAGGAUUUUGAAGGUUGUUAAUAUGUUUUUGUAUAAAUUUAGUAUUUUUUGUAUAAGAUGCAUUUAGUAUUUUC
rnacentral:lncRNA from 1 species